GGGGAUUUAGCUCAGUGGUAGGGCGCUUGCCUAGCAAGCACAAGGCCCUGGGUUCGGUCCCCAGCUCCA
rfam:Rattus norvegicus chromosome 14, whole genome shotgun sequence.